rnacentral:rRNA from 1 species
GCGUGCCUAAUACAUGCAAGUCGAGCGGACUUGACGGAAGCUUGCUUCCGUUCAAGUUAGCGGCGGACGGGUGAGUAACACGUGGGUAACCUGCCCGUAAGACUGGGAUAACUCCGGGAAACCGGGGCUAAUACCGGAUAUUCUUUUUCUUCGCAUGAAGAAGAAUGGAAAGGCGGCUUUUAGCUGUCACUUACAGAUGGACCCGCGGCGCAUUAGCUAGUUGGUGAGGUAACGGCUCACCAAGGCAACGAUGCGUAGCCGACCUGAGAGGGUGAUCGGCCACACUGGGACUGAGACACGGCCCAGACUCCUACGGGAGGCAGCAGUAGGGAAUCUUCCGCAAUGGACGAAAGUCUGACGGAGCAACGCCGCGUGAGUGAAGAAGGUUUUCGGAUCGUAAAGCUCUGUUGUCAGGGAAGAACAAGUACGGAAGUAACUGUCCGUACCUUGACGGUACCUGACCAGAAAGCCACGGCUAACUACGUGCCAGCAGCCGCGGUAAUACGUAGGUGGCAAGCGUUGUCCGGAAUUAUUGGGCGUAAAGCGCGCGCAGGCGGCUUCUUAAGUCUGAUGUGAAAGCCCACGGCUCAACCGUGGAGGGUCAUUGGAAACUGGGAGGCUUGAGUGCAGAAGAGGAGAGCGGAAUUCCACGUGUAGCGGUGAAAUGCGUAGAGAUGUGGAGGAACACCAGUGGCGAAGGCGGCUCUCUGGUCUGUAACUGACGCUGAGGCGCGAAAGCGUGGGGAGCGAACAGGAUUAGAUACCCUGGUAGUCCACGCCGUAAACGAUGAGUGCUAAGUGUUGGAGGGUUUCCGCCCUUCAGUGCUGCAGCUAACGCAUUAAGCACUCCCGCCUGGGGAGUACGGCCGCAAGGCUGAAACUCAAAGGAAUUGACGGGGGCCCGCACAAGCGGUGGAGCAUGUGGUUUAAUUCGAAGCAACGCGAAGAACCUUACCAGGUCUUGACAUCCACGCUGACCGGUCUGGAGGACAGGCCUUUCCCUUCGGGGACAGCGGUGACAGGUGGUGCAUGGUUGUCGUCAGCUCGUGUCGUGAGAUGUUGGGUUAAGUCCCGCAACGAGCGCAACCCUUGAUCUUAGUUGCCAGCAUUCAGUUGGGCACUCUAAGGUGACUGCCGGUGACAAACCGGAGGAAGGUGGGGAUGACGUCAAAUCAUCAUGCCCCUUAUGACCUGGGCUACACACGUGCUACAAUGGAUGGUACAAAGG